UGCAGCCCCGUUGGAUUCAGUCCCUGCCUCAGUGGUGGGGACUGGCCACCCGGCUGCCACCUUCCGUAGUCUGUGGGACCCCGGGGAUAAAGUCAUGCCACAGGCAUUG